UUACCUGGGCUUGAACUGUACCUGACAGGUGUAGAGAUACACCCUUCUUCGGACAGGUAUAGAGGUGCUGCAUGGCUGUCGUCAGCUCGUGUCGUGAGAUGUUGGGUUAAGUCCCGCAACGAGCGCAACCCUUACCCCUUGUUGCUAUCAGGUAAUGCUGGGCACUCUAGGGGAACUGCCGGUGGUAAACCGGAGGAAGGUGGGGAUGACGUCAAGUCAUCACGGCCCUUAUGUCCAGGGCUACACACGUGCUACAAUGGCCGGUACAAAGAGAUGCAAUGCCGCGAGGUGGAGCAAAUCUCAAAAAACCGGUUUCAGUUCGGAUUGUAGUCUGCAACUCGACUAUAUGAAGCUGGAAUCGCUAGUAAUCGUAGAUCAGCACGCUACGGUGAAUACGUUCCCGGGCCUUGUACACACCGCCCGUCACACCAUCUGAGUUGGCAGCACCCGAAGUGGCUGAUCUAACCGUAAGGAGGAAGGUUACUAAGGUGAAGUCGGUGAAGAGGGUGAAGUCGUAACAAGGUAGCC
rnacentral:rRNA from 1 species